rnacentral:rRNA from 1 species
UACGUAGGGGGCUAGCGUUGUCCGGAAUCAUUGGGCGUAAAGCGCGUGUAGGCGGUCCGGGAAGUCUGCUGUGAAAGUCGGGGGCUCAACCCUCGGAAGCCGGUGGAUACUGCUGGGCUAGAGUGCGGAAGAGGCGAGUGGAAUUCCUGGUGUAGCGGUGAAAUGCGCAGAUAUCAGGAGGAACACCAAUUGCGAAGGCAGCUCGCUGGGACGUGACUGACGCUGAGACGCGAAAGCGUGGGGAGCAAACAGG